UUCCCGUUUUGGGCCCUCCAGGUGUUUUGGACUUCAACUCCCACAAUGCCUUAGAGCCUCCCAUCCCUUCCUUUUCCCCCUGGUCCUGACGCUGCUAUGACUGCUUAAAUGGGCUUGCUUGUAAAAAGUUAUGCCGGUAGUCCUGAGAGUUGGAGAGGAGGUUUGAGUAUCGAGGAGGGAGGGGUGAAGAGUGGGGUUUGAAGAAGCAGCGUCGAAGAGAGGGGUUUCUAGAUGCGAUGCCACCAUGACUGCCUUAAUGGUCCUGUUUGUAAAAAACCAUGCCGGCAGUCCUGGCAGUUGGGGAGGAGGUAGGAGUACGGUGGAGGGAGGGAGGGGCGAAGAGUGGGGUUUGAAGAAGCAGCAUCAAAGAGAGGGGUUUCUACAUGCGACGACGCCAUGACUGCCUAAAUGGGCCUGCUUGUAAUAAGCCAUGCCAGCAGUCCUGGGAGUUGGAGAGGACAUAUGAGUACGGAAGAGGGAGGGAGGGAGGAGUGAAGAGUGGGGUUUGAAAAAGCAGUGGUGAAGAGAGGGGUUUCUAGAUGCGACGCCGCCAUGACUGCCUAAAUGGGCCUGGUUUGUUGUAGUAUUUGAUGUAGGACUGCCACAAUCCCAAUCCUCUCCCAUUGUCCCUAAUAGGUGGUUAGAGAUUGUGGAAGUUGUAGUUCGCCCACCCUCCUUCCCCCCCUCCCCCCCGCGCGUUCCCAUUAUUGUCCAAAUGUCCCUCACGGAUUAGUUUCAAGUUUCUGAAAGCUUGAGAUGGGGAAAGCUUUCACCCUUUUUUUCUCUGCCUCAUCAUCCUCCCUUGAGUGAAGUAAGCCGUCUGGCUCAGCGGUUGGGCUGCUUGCGCACUGCUGCCUGUAAUAUCCGUAUGUCUUCCAGGGGUGGGGGCUGGGGCCUGCUCCGUGCAUGUGCAGUUUGCUGUUUUAGGAUUUUGGGGUUUUGAGGGACAUGGACUUCGAAUUGUGUUUUCGUUUUGUCAUCUAAACGCAGCAGGGAGGACCAUGUGUUUUGUUGCCAAGUUUCAUGGUUCUGGGUUUUGUAGUUUCGCUGUUUGUAUUAAGGUAUAAAUGGAGAGAACAUUUUUAUAUAUAGAUUUGAAUCCAGCAGCUUCUACCCUUUUCCUCUUUUGUCAGAUUACUCUUUGUUGGCUUGCUCUUUUACUGUUUCUCUGAUGCUCUCUGGUUUCAGUUGUUGGAGUCACUUUUAACAUUUAGAUCACCAGCAGAGGGACCACACUCACCCCUGUGAUGAUUAAUAGCCAGGUGCUCAUCUGAUCCUCUGAUUAUCAUUGCGUGCCCACAAGAACAUCUUCAUGGUUUGAAUUCACAGACUGAAGGCAUACUAUCAUCUGACAUUCCAUCCUUAUGAUGGAAAUGCAGUAAAGAAAAAUGAGUUAUUUCUGAGUAACUUACUUUGCCAGCUUGCCAUUUGUCUGCUGCACACCUAACGGCUCUGUGGAUGUAGUUACUGUAUCAUAGGACAGUUUGGCAAGGAUACUGCUUAAUAAUGAUGAUUUACAUUUAGGUCCUUGCCUGUCUCUGAACUUCUACCCGUCCAUCUAGAAGAUAGUAGGAUGGUAAAUGGUACCCUGAGUCAGGAGUGACUUAAGAAACUGCAAGUCGCUUCUGGUGUGAGAGAAUUGGCCAUCUGAAAGGACGUUGCCCAGGGGAUGCCUGGAUGUUUUGAUGUUUUUUACCAUCCAUGUGGGAGGCUUCGCUUAUGUCCCUGCAUGGAGCUGGAGCUGACUGAGGGAGCUCAUCCAUGCUCUCCCCGGGAUUCAAACUAGCAACCUUCAGGUCAGCAACCUUCAAGUCAUCAGUUCUACUGGCAUAAGAGUUUAACCCACUGCACCACCGGGGACUCCUCACUUUGCAUGACUCUUAGCUCAAGUAUGCUAGUAGUAAACUAUGGUUCAGGUCCAAGUAUUUGGAAGAUCACAUCUCCCUGUAUGAGUCACGCCCAUUUUGCGGAGUCAGGUGUUACACAACCCCAAAUGGGGGAAAGCAUGGGAAAGAUAGACUCGACAGGGAAAGUUUGUGGGAUAGCUGGCCAUCUCAGAAGAUGGACCGUGAUGGGAGGGAACAGAUGGCCAGUGGCAAGAGACAGAGGUGCUCAACUUUGCCAUGAGGCAUGGGGAAUCCGGCAUGCUUCACACUGCCUGCAUCGCCGGGAGGGCGAUCACAUGAGGAGAAGCAUGAACGCACAGUUUCCCACAUAGAUUAUGGCAACACGGGAAGCUUCCCGUGUUGCUGUGGUAGCAGUGGUGUGCCGGUUCCACCCUCCUUCACCCUCGGAGCUGGCACAAUGUUGUCUGAUGGGAGCCGGCCAGCUCCAUUGGUGACUGGGGCAAGGUUUUAGCCCCAUAUGAUGAGGUUGUAAGACAGUUCACUCUGCUUUCCCCCAUUUCCCCCCACUCAUGGAAUGAGGUCCUCAGUCUCACUACAAUCAUGGUUGGGGGAGACUAUGGUUACCCCAUGACUCUAGAAUUCACUUUCAAGAAAGCCAAAAUAACACAUUUCAUGCUGUCCUUCUAGUGGGAGACUAAAACCUUUUUAUUCAGACAGGCUUUUUAAAUCCAAAAUGUUUUAAAGAAUGGGCUUGGGAAUGCUAUAGCCAAACAGUUUUUAAGAGCUUUUUAUUUUUAAUUAUAUUUUAAAUUUAAUAUUUUAAUGAGUUUAAUUCUAUUUCAAUAUUUACAUUUUGUAUAAACAACAACUUUUCCCUAUUUUUUAGCCAACAUGUUUUUAAGCAGUUUUUAACUGUUGUAAAUUUUACCCAUUUGUGUGUUGUUAAUCUCAAUAUUCUGCAUCCCGUGUACGUCUAUGGUGCAUUAGGGAUCUUUGGACCAUAAUAAAAUGCUGUUGUUGUUGUUUUUGUUUAUAUUUUGCAUACUUGUAUUGUGUUUUUUUCAAUUGUGAGUUGCUUUGCAUCUCAAUUGUAACAACAAUGCAUAGCAUGAUACAUUUGUAUCUAUCCUACCUGGAAUUAAAAAAUAGUAAAACAUGUAAUGAAUUCUCCUCUUACAAAUCUGACAUUGUUGUAAAAUUAUACAGAAAAGUAGGAAAUUUUGGUAGAAUGGCUAAUGUAAAUCAGAUAUUGAGGAAUAAGGAUAGCCCAUGAAAAGGUUAUUCUUCUAAUGUCAUCACACUUGACAAUAAAAAUAAUGACAUUUAUUUUCA